GAGAUGAGUUCUUUCAUUAAAUUAGCAUCGGAUCCGGUCUGAUCUCGGAAGCUAAGCAGGGUCGGGCCUGGUUAGUACUUGGAUGGGAGACCAUCUAGGAAGACCAGGUGCUGUAGACA
rnacentral:rRNA from 1 species